CCUCAGUACCAGAGACUGUUCCAGGUAGUUACCACAUCUUCAGUACCAGAGACUGUUCCAGGUAGGUACCACAUCUCCAACCCUCAGUACCAGAGACUGUUCCAGGUGGUUACCACAUACCCAACCCUCAGUACCAGAGACUGUUCCAGGUAGUUACCACAUCCUCAACCCUCAGUACCAGAGACUGUUCCAGGUAGUUACUACAUCCAAAGUACCAGAGACUGUUCCAGGUAGUUACCACAUCCCCAACCCUCAGUACCAGAGACUGUUCCAGGUAGUUACCACAUCCCCAACCCUCAGUACCAGAGACUGUUCCAGGUAGUUACCACAUCCCCAACCCUCAGUACCAGAGACUGUUCCAGGUAGUUACCACAUCCCCAACCCUCAGUACCAGAGACUGUUCCAGGUAGUUACCACAUCCUCAGUACCAGAGACUGUUCCAGGUAGUUACCACAUCCCCAACCCUCAGUACCAGAGACUGUUCCAGGUAGUUACCACAUCCCCAACCCUCAGUACCAGAGACUGUUCCAGGUAGUUACCACAUCCCCAACCCUCAGUACCAGAGACUGUUCCAGGUAGUUACUACAUCCCCAACCCUCAGUACCAGAGACUUUUCCAGGUAGUUACCACAUCCCCAACCCUCAGUACCAGAGACUGUUCCGUCUAGCUGUUCCUUUAGCUGUAUCUUUAUCUUCAUCCAAGUCGUUCCUUUAUCUUCACCCUGGCUGUACUUUUAUCUUCAGCCUGGCUGUCCUUUUAUCUUCAGCCUGGCUGUUCUUUUAUCUUCAGCCUGGCUGUUCCUUUAUCUUCAGCCUGGCUGUUCCUUUAUCUUCAGCCUGGC